GACGAACGCUGGCGGCGUGCUUAACACAUGCAAGUCGAACGAUGAAGCUGGAGCUUGCUCCGGUGGAUUAGUGGCGAACGGGUGAGUAACACGUGAGCAAUCUGCCCUUGACUCUGGGAUAACUGCAGGAAACUGUAGCUAAUACCGGAUAUGAGACUCGAAGGCAUCUUCGGGUCUGGAAAGAAUUUCGGUCAAGGAUGAGCUCGCGGCCUAUCAGCUUGUUGGUGAGGUAAUGGCUCACCAAGGCGACGACGGGUAGCCGGCCUGAGAGGGUGGCCGGCCACACUGGGACUGAGACACGGCCCAGGCUCCUACGGGGGGCAGCAGUGGGGAAUAUUGCACAAUGGGCGAAAGCCUGAUGCAGCAACGCCGCUUGAGGGAUGAAGGCCUUCGGGUUGUAAACCUCUUUUAGCAGGGAAGAAGCGAAAGUGACGGUACCUGCAGAAAAAGCACCGGCUAACUACGUGCCAGCCGCCGCGGUAA
rnacentral:rRNA from 1 species